UUUCAAGUUUUUGUGUCAACUCCAUCAGGCUUCAAAAAUGAGAAUUAUACCGAACCAUUGAAGCAAGCAGGCUUCCGCAAUUUUUGUGUGGCUUACUUAAUAGUUUAUACUAUAAAUUAAUGAUCAAUCCUUCCCACCUUCAGAUAUGCUUUUGUUUGUUUUCGAAAGCAUUAUAAAAAGCUUCAAUUUAUGGUGGCUCUAAUUUUCAGUUUACUUUGAGGUCGCAAUGAACUACGCAAGCAGAACAUCAGUGCACAAAUCAGCCAUUGAUGAUCCUUCAAGUCUGUACUUCGUUCACCAUUCUAAUAGUCCAGGAUUGAUCUUGGAGUCGCAGCAGCUGAUUGGAGAUAACUAUGCCUCUUGGAGCCGUAAUAUGACAAUCGCACCAUCGGUGAAGAAUGAGGCUGGAUUUGUUGAUGGAUCAACCUGAAGGUGUAAAUUCUGAUUUGCUCAACUCAUGGAUUCGUUAUUUCCUGGAUUCUGAAUUCCAUUUCUCCCAGUGUGAUAUAUGUGGUCACGGUGUAUGAAAUCUGAACAGAUCUUAGAGAUAGAUUCCAAUGGAAAAAUAGACCAGGUAUCUUCCAAUUGAGAAGAGAUAUGAUGAAUCUGGUUUAAGAUCUGAACAAUGCAAGUGUUUACUUCACUAAAUUAAAGCUAUUUAGGAGGAAUUGAGCAAUUAUUGCCAUACCUGCGAUUGUGAAAAGGCACCUGUGGUGGCAUAAAGGAAUUGAACAAUCAUUAUCAGAUGGAAUACACUAUGUCAUUCCUAAUGAGGUUACAUGAUUUUCUCGCAAAUUAGAGGGCAGAUACUAUUUAUGGAUACUUUACAUCGAAUUAACAAAGUGUUUCUGAUUUCACAAGAAGAAGAUUGGAACUUAAAUAGCAUCUGAAAUUGAUCAAAAUAGAGGUACAGCCUUUGCUUUUAAGAUUGAUAAUAGCAAAGGAAUUCAUCCUAGAUCACACAACAAUGCUUCAAGUUUGGAAAUAUUGUAAGUGGUAAGAAGAAGGAAAGACCUUAUUGCACUAAUUGCAAUUUCCAUGGCCAUUCCAUUGACAAGUGCUACAAAAUACAUGGCUAUCCACCUAGCUAUAAGCAAAGAUCAAGAGAGGAUUCAGUCAAUCAGAUUUCAACCACUACAUCAAUUCCUCAAAUUGAAAAUGGGCAACAUAAUCAAUAGCCAGGAUUUGGAAGUUUUGUGCAAAACCUGAACUCUGAUCAAUACCAACAACUAAUUCCCAUGCUUUCUUCUCACUUGGCUUCAAGUUCCAACGUAACAUCCUUAGAUCAUUGAGACAACAAUAUCAUAUCAUAUGCUACUGGUAUAUGUUACUCUAUAUCAGUAAAUCAUUUUUUUUUUAUCCAAGGAGAGUUGGAUAGUGGAUUCAGGUGUAACUCGGCAUGUCUGCUCCAUUGCCCCUGCUUUUUUAUCAUUGAGAAUUCUGGAUAAUUCUGCUGAUAUUUUACCUAAUAACACACAUAUACCUAUUUAAUUAUUUUUUUUUAUAAGUAAUCAAAUAUUUUAUUAAUCAUGGAUAAUACACAGGAAGCGUAUUAUCAAUUAAUACAAGCCAAAAAGACAUGAAAUUAGGCAACCCGUCUAUGCAAGUAAUAGCUAUAGCAUUAACCAAAUAUACAGUGUCAGGUAAAAUAAUUCUUUAAUCUGCUCUGUUGUCCGUGUAUUAUAUUUACCCUCUUGCUAAACAAAGAAAGUUGUCGUUUGAAUCAUAUAAUCAUUUUUCAAAGAAUCCAUUUGACCUUUACAUUGUGACAUUUGGGGUUCAUAUCGAGUCCCAUCCUACAGGACAAAGAUUUUUCCUGACAUUAGUAGAUGAUUGUUGAAGAUUCACAUGGUUGUUUUUGUUGAAACGAAAAUCAGAUGCUGCAAAUUUUGUUCCCAGAUUAUUUAAUAUGAUAGCAACUCAAUUCAAUGCCAAAAUAAAAACCUUCCGAUCUUGUCAGAUGAAUUCAGAAUUCAAGAGAAAGAAAUAGCUUUUGAGAUUUCUUGAAAAACCGUCUCUCUUACAUGCUGCCCUCUUCUCAAUAUAUAUACAGAUAGAAAUGGCUUUACAAGGAAAUUAUGUCCUACAUAUGCUAUACAAUCCCUAAGAAUAUAAAAAUAUAAAUAUGAAAAGAAAUCUUCAUUAUUAUAUACGGUAACACCCUCCCCUCAAAUUGAUGCGGGGAAGUCAACCAUCAACAAUUUGCUAACAAGAAAUUGAUGUCGUUGUCGAAUCAAUGCCUUGGUGAAGAUAUCGGCCACUUGAAGAUCAGAAGAAAUGUAAGGAAGAGAUAUAACCGGACCCUCUAAUGUAUCGCGGAUAAAAUGACAAUUAACUUCAAUGUGCUUGGUGCGCUCAUGAAAGACAGGAUUAUUGGCAAUUUGGAUAGCACUCGUGUUAUCAGCUUGAAGAGGAGUAGAAUUAGCUUGAGGAAAACCCAGCUCCUCCAGAAUACCGCGUAACCAUAUAAUUUCUGGGCAAGCCAUAGACAUUGCAUGAUACUCAGCCUCAGUAGAGGACUUAGAGACACGAUCUUGUUUCUUACAUUUCCAAGAGAUCAAUGCAUCACCAAAAAACACAUAUCAGCCCGUAGUAGAACGACGUGUAUCCGGGUAACCAGCCCAAUCAGCAUCACUAUAAGCAACAAGCUGAAGAGAUGACCCUGUAAGAACAACCCACGAGAAGGUGACCUGCAAAGAUAGCGAAUAAUGCGGCGGACUGCAGCAAGGUGAAGAUGCCGACGAGAAGACAUAAACUGGCUCACUUGAUGGACGGCAUAUGAGAUGUCCGGUCUAGUAGUAGUCAGAUAGAUAAGACUCCCAACCAAGCGACGAUAGAGUGUGGGAUCAUCCAGGAGAUCUCCUUCAUCUCUUCUGAAUUUCACAUUUACCUCCAUAGGAGUAUCAACUGAAGAGGUAUCCUCCAAACUAGCUAAUGUGAUAAGAUCUUGAGUAUACUUAUGCUGGUUUAAGAAAAUGCCAUUGUCUCGAUGAUGAACUUCCAGCCCUAAGAAGUGAGGCGAUCCAUGUCCUUAUAUGGAAAGUGGCAUGCAACAGAUUUUGAAGUUUAAUAAUCACACUGCAGUCAGUGCCAGUAAUAAUUAUAUCAUCCACAUACACCAAAAGGAGAACAAUGCCUGCCGCAGACUUGUGGAAGAAGAGAGAAGAAUCAAACUGACUUUGUGUAAAAUCGAAUGUAAGAAGCGUACCACGAAAUUUUUCAAACCAUGCUCGGGGGCUUGCUUGAGCCCAUACAAAGAUUGCCAUAACUUACAAACAUCAUGAGCAGAGGUAGCAGGUAAACCAGGAGGAAGCUUCAUAUAAAUCUCCUCUUGAAGAUCACCAUGAAGAAAAUCGUUCUUCACAUCCAUUUGAUGUAGUUGCCAUGAUUGGGAGGCAGCAAUAGCUAAUAUUGUUCAAACCGUGAUCAUUUUGGCAACAGCGGCAAAUGUUUCCUCAUAGUCAACCCUAUAUUCCUGUUUGUUACCCAGAGCUACAAGCUUUGUAUUGAUCCAAAGAACCAUCAGGUCGAAAUUUGACUGAGAAUACCCAUUUACUCCCAAUAGGCUUGACCGUAGAAGGACAAGGAACAAUGUCCCAAGUAUGAUUCUCCUCAAGGCAUGAAGUUCUGCUUGCAUUGCAUCCCGCCAAUACUUAUGUUCCAUAGCCUGUUUGUAGCAAGAGGGAAUAGAAAUAGAUGAUAAAGUAGUUACGAGGGAAAGAGGAGGAGAGAAACCAUACCGAUCAAGAGGUCGAGUAGAUCGACGAAGAUUGGUGACAGCUGUAGCAGGAUCAGGUGCCGAGUUGAGAUCACGAGGGGGCAUAGAGGGAGUAUGAACAGACUCAUGUGGACGACGGCAGGCAUACACAAAACCAUGUUUAAACCUUUCCACAACCGGAGGAGAAUCAGAAAAACUAAGCAAAGGAGAGAAUGUUACAGAUGGGGGCUCGACAUGAGAGUGAAAGAAAUAUUGAUUUUCAAAGAAAACCAAAUUUCUAGAGACACGAAUACGACGAGCAUUAGGAUCAUAACAAACAUAACCUUUUUGUGAGGUAGCAUAGCCAA